rnacentral:rRNA from 1 species
CAUGCAAGUCGUGCGAGAAAGUACCCUUCGGGGUGCGAGUAGAGCGGCAAACGGGUGAGUAACACGUAAGUAGCCUACCUCUAAAUCUGGAAUAACUCUGCCAACGCGGAGCUAAUACCGGAUGUGGUCACGAUGCUGCAUGGUAUUGUGACUAAAGGUGACCUCUCCUUGGAAGUUACCGUUUAGAGAUGGGCUUGCGGACCAUUAGCUAGUUGGUGAGGUAACGGCUCACCAAGGCUACGAUGGAUAGCCGGCCUAAGAGGGUGAUCGGCCACAUUGGGACUGAGAUACGGCCCAGACUCCUACGGGAGGCAGCAGUAGGGAAUUUUGCGCAAUGGACGAAAGUCUGACGCAGCAACGCCGCGUGAGGGAUGACGGCCUUCGGGUUGUAAACCUCUGUUGAGUGGGAAGAAAAGCUUUGUGGUUAAUAUCCACAGAGUCUGACGGUACCACUCGAGGAAGCCCCGGCUAACUACGUGCCAGCAGCCGCGGUAAUACGUAGGGGGCUAGCGUUGUUCGGAAUCACUGGGCGUAAAGGGAGUGUAGGCGGACCGGUAAGUUAGGAGUUAAAUGUACGGGCUCAACCCGUGAUCUGCUUUUAAUACUGUCGGUCUUGAGUAUGGGAGAGGGAGAUGGAAUUCCAGGUGUAGCGGUGGAAUGCGUAGAUAUCUGGAAGAACACCAGUUGCGAAGGCGGUCUCCUGGACCAAUACUGACGCUGAUGCUCGAAAGCUGGGGGAGCGAACAGGAUUAGAUACCCUGGUAGUCCCAGCCGUAAACGAUGGACACUAGUUGCCGGAGGAGUCAAUCCCUUCGGUGACGAAGCUAACGCAUUAAGUGUCCCGCCUGGGGAGUACGCUCGCAAGGGUGAAACUCAAAGGAAUUGACGGGGGCCCGCACAAGCGGUGGAGCAUGUGCUUUAAUUCGAUGCAACGCGAAGAACCUUACCUGGGUUUGACAUGGGGGUUGAAAGUUUCCAGAGAUGGAAGCCUUUCCUUUCGGGAACACCCCACACAGGUGCUGCAUGGUUGUCGUCAGCUCGUGUCGUGAGAUGUUGGGUUAAGUCCCGCAACGAGCGCAACCCCUGCCCUUUGUUGCCAUCAGGUAAAGCUGGGUACUCUAAGGGGACAGCUUGGUAUAACCAGGAGGAAGGUGGGGAUGAC